rnacentral:rRNA from 1 species
UCGGCUUAGAGUUUGAUCAUGGCUCAGAUUGAACGCUGGCGGCAGGCUUAACACAUGCAAGUCGAACGGUAAAGUAGCUUGCUACUUACGAGUGGCGGACGGGUGAGUAACGUAUGGGAAUUUACCGAAUGGAGGGGGACAACAGUUGGAAACGGCUGCUAAUACCGCAUAACGUCGAGAGACCAAAGGGUUUCGACUUGCCAUUUGAUGAGCCCAUAUGAGAUUAGCUAGUUGGUGUGGUAAUGGCUCACCAAGGCGACGAUCUCUAGCUGGUUCGAGAGGAUGACCAGCCACACUGGGACUGAGACACGGCCCAGGCUCCUACGGGAGGCAGCAGUGGGGAAUAUUGCACAAUGGGGGGAACCCUGAUGCAGCCAUGCCGCGUGUAUGAAGAAGGCCUUAGGGUUGUAAAGUACUUUCGUGGAGGAGGAAGGGUUUACGUAAUCGUGGACAUUGACGUUACUCCAAGAAGAGGCACCGGCUAACUCCGUGCCAGCAGCCGCGGUAAUACGGAGGGUGCGAGCGUUAAUCGGAUGACUGGGCGUAAAGGGCAUGUAGGCGGAUGAUUAAGUUAGAUGUGAAAUCCCUGGGCCUAACCUAGGAUUUGCAUUUAAAACUGGUUU